CUCCGCCCGGACCCCAGGAGAGCAGCCGCGCAGCCGGGACCUGGCAGCCGCGCAGCCCGGGCAGAAGCUUGGGCUCUCCGGCAGCCGUAGCAGCCGCCGCCGCGGAGUGCGUUGGCGCCAAGCACGUGCUCAGCGUGGCGCUGGCCCGUCCGUGUGGAGAUCGUACCCCGGGUUGGCGGCCGCUUCCGGGCGGUGACGACACGGCGUCGCUCCAUGCGCUCCCGCUUCUCCGCCUCCGAGACCCGCUGCUGGUGCUCGCUGGGCCGUUUGCCUCCCCCGGCUUGCGGGCGUAGCGGCUGCGGGACGGGUGGGCGGGGGAGACGCCGCUCGGAGCCCGCCCCGCGCGUGGGGAAGGUGUCUGUUCGACUCGUGUUCAAUCCCCCGCCUCACUUGGUCGCCCUGUUCUGUCCUGGACCCGUGGCAGUGGCUGUAUCGCCCUAAUUUUCUUAAAUAUGUAUUAAGAUUUUCAAAAGGAACCAAGUCCCAGGAACAUUAAAUCAGUUUUCUCAUUGUAGACCUGUCGGUGGAAUAGAAAAAUAUUUAUGGAUUAAAAAUGGAGUGACAGAUCUGCUUCGUGUUCCCAAAGAUGUUGAUCACACGGUGUUGUUUGGGAUAUGGCCCUGUGGUCAUUUCCAUGAUUGGGGAAAUUCCACAUCUCUAGCACAAUAAUAAUCUCUUGCAGAAACUUCUACCCUCUGAACCCACCCCUGUAGGAUUUACCACAGAAGGGGAUGAUCCAGGGUGAGGAAUUAUUCCCUGUGAGAAUGUUUAUAGACUGUAUCUACAUGAUCUUUGAUGGGAAAACACUGUUUUCUUUUACCAGCCAAAUUUACUUACCCUACAUUUUUAAAAAAUGUAACUUGCCACAAUAAUUUGACUCGACAGUAUAUUCCACAAACACAAUGAAAUCAUUUUGUAAGAUAAGAAAGCAGACAUCAAACACAAGUUUUUACACUACAUCUAAAAUAUUUAGAUUAAACAUUUUAAAUUGAAAGUUGAAUAGUGCUUGUGAAAGGUGCUGGAUUUAAUUUAAUAAAUAUUAAUUGCAUCUCUGUUCGAUAUUUAUUGAAGGGACUAAAUUUUAAAUAUUUUACAAAUGGCUUUCACUGCCAAAUGCAUAGAUGUGCCUCACAUAAUAGAGAAUGUAUUUCUGAAUAAUUUUACCAAACAGAAAUUGCUGUGUCAAAAUUUAAAUGUCCAAACAAUGAAUGUAAUUUGCUUGCUAAAAGACACACUAGAAAAUCUCGAAUCCUUUUGUUAAACAGGGAAGUCUCAUGCAAUCAUGACCUAGAAAAUUGCUUGAAAAAGUAGAAGGGGAUGAAACAGCUUGUCACGUAAUCAAACUGAUUAGAGCUUCUGCUUCAAAAACAUAAUGCAGAAACAGAUGUGGUAGCAGUCAUGCAUUCCAGAGCACAUAAAAAUGUGGAAAGAGGUAUUUUUCCAUUG